CAGAAUUAUAGAAGUCACUUUCUAGACCAGGUAGAUACUUCACUGUCUAGACCAGGUAGAUACUUCACUGUCUAGACCAGGUAGAUACUUCACUGUCUGGACCAGGCAGAUACUUCACUGCCUAGACCAGGCAGAUACUUCACUGCCUAGACCAGGUGGAUACUUCACUGCCUAGAACAGGUAGAUACUUCACUGUCUGGACCAGGUAGAUACUUCACUGUCUAGACCAGGCGGAUACUUCACUUUCUAGACCAGGCAGAUACUUCACUGCCUAGACCAGGUAGAUACUUCACUGCCUAGACCAGGUUGAUACUUCACUGCCUAGACCAGGUAGAUACUUCACUGCCUAGACCAGGUAGAUACUUCACUGCCUAGACCAGGUAGAUACUUCACUGUCUGGACCAGGUAGAUACUUCACUGCCUAGACCAGGUGGAUACUUCACUGCCUAGACCAGGUAGAUACUUCACUGCCUAGACCAGGCGGAUACUUCACUUUCUAGACCAGGCAGAUACUUCACUGCCUAGACCAGGUAGAUACUUCACUGUCUAGACCAGGUUGAUACUUCACUGCCUAGACCAG
rnacentral:lncRNA from 1 species